GAUGAACGCUGGCGGCGUGCUUAACACAUGCAAGUCGAACGGGAAACCUUUUAUUGAAGCUUCGGCAGAUUUAGCUGGUUUCUAGUGGCGGACGGGUGAGUAACGCGUGGGUAACCUGCCCUAUACAGGGGGAUAACAACCAGAAAUGGUUGCUAAUACCGCAUAAGCGCACAGGGCCGCAUGGUCCGGUGUGAAAAACUCCGGUGGUAUAGGAUGGACCCGCGUUGGAUUAGCCAGUUGGCAGGGUAACGGCCUACCAAAGCGACGAUCCAUAGCCGGCCUGAGAGGGUGAACGGCCACAUUGGGACUGAGACACGGCCCAGACUCCUACGGGAGGCAGCAGUGGGGAAUAUUGCACAAUGGGGGAAAACCUGAUGCAGCGACGCCGCGUGAAGGAAGAAGUAUCUCGGUAUGUAAACUUCUAUCAGCAGGGAAGAUAGUGACGGUACCUGACGAAGAAGCCCCGGCUAACUACGUG
rnacentral:rRNA from 1 species